CAGUAGCCACGGGAAUGCGAAGGGUGCAAGCGUUAAUCGGAAUUACUGGGCGUAAAGCGCACGUAGGCGGCUUUGUAAGUUAGAGGUGAAAGCCCAGAGCUCAACUCUGGAAUUGCCUUUAAGACUGCAUCGCUUGAAUCCAGGAGAGGUGAGUGGAAUUCCGAGUGUAGAGGUGAAAUUCGUAGAUAUUCGGAAGAACACCAGUGGCGAAGGCGGCUCACUGGACUGGUAUUGACGCUGAGGUGCGAAAGCGUGGGGAGCAAACAGGAUUAGAUACCCCAGUAGUCCCUGUCUCUUAUAC
rnacentral:rRNA from 1 species